GACAGAGGUGCCGAGCGUUAGGCGGAAUCACUGGGCUUAAAGCGUGUGUAGGCGGGCGAUCAAGUACCUUGUGAAAUCCCACGGCUCAACCGUGGAACCGCUGGGUAUACUGGUUGUCUUGAGCCGGCUAGGGGCGAGCGGAACAGACGGUGGAGCGGUGAAAUGCGUAGAUAUCGGGAGGAACACCUGUGGCGAAAGCGGCGCACUGGACCACAACUGACGCUGAGGCGCGAAAGCUAGGGGAGCAAACAGG
rnacentral:rRNA from 1 species